GGCAGAAUAGCUCAGUUGUUAGAGCAUCUCACAUGACAUGAGAAAGUCGCAGGUUCAAAUCCUGCUUCAGCCA